UUACUGUGAAAACAGCAGGAACUUCAAACUGGCACAAGGAAACAGACUGAGAAUCCAGAGUAAGAGUUUCUCCUACAAAACCUUUCACUUUGUGCUAAGUAAAUGACUGUCUCCCCACAUGCUCAUUUCUAAGAGAUUAUUGUGUGUGAAAUCCGCCCUUCAACUAGCAUGUGGGAAUCACAAAGCUUCUUUUCAGUUUGAAAUUCCACUACAUAAAUAUAUAUGGGUAGGUACUAGAUCCAAUUCGAUUUUACAGUGAAAACUGCAGGAACUUGAAACCAGCAGUAGGAAACAGACUGAGAAACCAAAG